CUAAGUGAAUGCAUAGCCGGACAAAAUUAUGACACAUUUUGUAUGAAAAAGGGGCAUAACUCUGUUAAAAAGGGCUAAAGUGGCAUAAUUUGUUUAAAAGGACUACUUGGGGAAAAUCACAACACCAUAUGGUCUUUUAACUAUACACCAAUUUUGUGAAAAACUAACUUCGUUGCGGGGGGUAUAAUUAAUUGAUUACUGAUUUACCACCUAAAUGAACCCCCUGUCUGUUGCUAGGUUACAUCUCCCUGGCUUUAGUCAGUGUUUUGUCAGCUUUAGUUAGUUACUGGUUUACCACCUAUAUGACCCCGCCUAUUGCUAGGUUACAUCUCCCUGGCUAUAGUCAGUGUUUUGUCAGCUUUAGUUAGUUACUGGUUUACCACCUAUAUGACUCUCUCUGUUGCUACGUUACAUCUCCCUGGCUAUAGUCAGUGUUUUGUCAGCUUUAGUUAGUUACUGGUUUACCACCUAUAUGACCCCCCUGUUUGUUGCUAGGUUACAUCUCCCUGGCUAUAGUCAAUGUUUUGUCAGCUUUAGUUAGUUACUGGUUUACCACCUAUAUGACUCUCUCUGUUGCUAGGUUACAUCUCCCUGGCUAUAGUCAGUGUUCUGUCAGCUUUAGUUACUUACUCUGACUCUGUCUGUUGCUAGGUUUUGUCUCUAUGGCUAUAAUCUGUUUGACAGAUCCACAUCUAAGUUAGGGGAUUCCCCCACUGAGAUAUAUGAGGCGGUAUGUAUUCAUUCAUCAUGAUUAUGUUGUCAGACAUGUAGUUUUACUGACGACGCCUGUUAUAUCAGUUGUUUCUGUGUAUUUUUCAGAAGUCUUGUUUACUUUGUCAAUAAUUCUUUAUACAUUUUUAUCUGUAACAUGUACUGACCUUUCAUGUCAUGCUUGUUGUCGUUCAUGUCAUUUCAUUGACAUUUCAGGGUCAGCUGGGGUCAUUAGAAUACUUAAAAAUCAGCAUCCAAACAAUUUACAUUUUAGGCUUUUGUGUGGGGCGAAGGACUGCCAAGUUUCUUAAAAUGAGUAACCUUGACUUCCAAAGUCAUCAGAGUCAAAUUUGUGCACAUAUUUAAUAAACUGCUUCUCAAUAACCAAAUUAAAGAUUCUGGGUGAUAUUGGCCCACUGGCAUGAUUGUGUGAAGGGCUAUCAAGUUUGUUCUAAUAAAUGACCUUGGGUUACUUUCAAGGCCACUGGGGUCAAAUGUGGUUAAGACUUUAAACAACUUCUCAAUAAUCAAGAGGCCCAGGGACACAUUAUUUGGCCAGUAGCAUGCUCAUCGCUGGGGAAAAGGCUUAUCAAGUUUGUUUAAAAAUGACCUUUAAAUACUUUCAAGGUUUAAAGUGCUAAAGACUUUAAAAGUACUUCUCAAUAACAAAGAGGUCCAGGGCCAUGGUGCUGGGCCAGUAGUACAUUGAGAUGAAACACUCCCAAGUACCUUUCAAGUUGUUCAAAUGAAAGACCUUGACCUACUUUCAAAGUCACUGUUGUGAGAUGUGAUAAAAAAUUAAAUGACUUAACCGCAAAAACAUAGGGUCAUUAUAUUGUAGAAUGCCUGGAUGAAAUGCCACUUGCUCCAGGUUUGCUCAAUUUAAUGACAUUGACCUGCUUUUAAGGUCACCGGGGUCAAAUAUGUUAAAUUCUUUAAAAAAAAAAAAUGAAAAAAAAAUCAUCAACUACCAGCAUAUACAGGUCGCAAGUGACCGUUAAGGACUAUAGGUCACUUGAAUAGACUGGUCUUAUUCUGAUGUUCUACAGUAUUCCGGCGCUUGCGCAUGCGUCUACUUCAUGUGAGAAUUGUAAGAGAACCCUGUUACCACGAAAUAACAUUUUGCUUCAAGUACGUGUAAUCGGCCGUGGAUUAAACCAGAAAUAGCUGUCUAAACUUGUUUUUAUAGUUAGUAUAAGUAGAUAUGAAAGUACAAAUUAUUUCACAUGUUUUUGCCAAUAUUAUUGCGACAAAUCUUCGAUCUACGUGCAGUACCAAAACGUUCAAGGACUCUUAUGAGAAACUUCGGGACUUCAGGUGCUGUAGAAAUAUUUCCAGUAAUUCAUUCAUAGAUAAAUCUUAUGUUCCGCAUUGUAUAAGAGUUUGUUAUAUAUUAAAAGGCAAAUUACAAAUACAGUGUAAGCAUCCAAAUCUACCAAAACAGUCAUGAAAAAUCCUCUACAUCCGGCAGCUGGGGUUCUGGACGUGAUGGUGGCCAGAGAGAAGGCAAAUCUCCAUUAUUUCUCUUAAAGCAUUUCUAUUUUCUGAUUCUCAUUCAAAAUUCCAUGCUCAGGUUAUUUUGGUAAAUUAUCAGUUUAAUCUAUCACUGUGUUGUUAAACCGUUGUGUAUGUUUGUAUAUAAUAAAUGUACAUGUAUUUCCAUAAAAUUACUUGUGUGAUUAAAAUUGUGCAGUAAACAUUUGAAUUGAAUUAUAAUAACAUAAAGGAAUCGUCGACCCCGUUAUCUGCAUCAAUGCUGUAAACCAUCUUCGAUACUCAAAGUAUCACUCUGGGUAAUGGUCACAUUCGCUCACUCCUAAUGUUACUAGAGGGCAUGUGAUCCUAACCCCAGGGGUAAUGGUCACAUUCGCUCACUCCUGUGGUUACUAGAGGGCAUGUGAUCCUAACCCCAGGGGUAACGUUCACAUUCGCUCACUCCUGAGGUUACUAGAGGGUAUGUGAUCCUAACCUCAGGGGUAACGUUCACAUUCGCUCACUCCUGACGUUACUAGAGGGCAUGUGACCCUAACCCCAGGGGUAACGUUCACAUUCGCUCGCUCCUGUGGUUACUAGAGGGUAUGUGAUCCUAACCCCAGGGAUAGCGGUCACAUUCGCUCACUCCUGAGGUUACUAGAGGGCAUGUGAUCCUAACCCCAGGUGUAACGGUCACAUUCGCUCACUCCUGUGGUUACUAGAGGGUAUGUGAUCCUAACCCCAGGUGUAACGGUCACAUUCGCUCACUCCUGAGGUUACUAGAGGGUAUGUGAUCCUAACCCCUGGGGUAACGUUCACAUUCGCUCACUCCUGAGGUUACUAGAGGGCAUGUGAUCCUAACCCCUGGGGUAACGGUCACAUUCGCUCACUCCUGAUGUUACUAGAGGGCAUGUGAUCCUAACCCCAGGAGUAUCGAGGAUAGUUGUUAACAGAUUUGAGAAAGCAAAGCCUUCCAUUGGGAUGUUUUUCGGACUGAAUGAGCAGAUACAAAAUAAAUAAAUAUAUGAUAUUGUAUCAUUA